rnacentral:rRNA from 1 species
UUGAGGGGGGCUGCUCCUAGUACGAGAGGACCGGAGUGGACGCAUCUCUGGUGUACCGGUUAUCACGCCAGUGGUAUCGCCGGGUAGCUAUAUGCGGAAGAGAUAAACGCUGAAAGCAUCUAAGCGUGAAACUUGCCUCAAGAUGAGAUUUCCCCAGGCCUUGAGCCUGCUAAAGGGUCGUUCGAGACCAGGACGUUGAUAGGUCGGGUGUGGAAGCGCAGUAAUGCGUUAAGCUAACCGAUACUAAUUGCCCGUGAGGCUUGAUCCU